UUUCAUAUUUGCUGCAUAUUUUGCAUAAAAUUUGCGAUCUUAAAAAAACUCGUGUUUUGCUUGUGGCAACAUCGGCGAAUGCAGCAAAAUAGGCCAAAACCACUUUGAGACUGAACUUGUAACAAAGUUAUAAUUUACAAAUUGUGGCACGAUGCAGUUUUCGAUUUAUUGGACAAGGAACGACGAGGGACUUUCUGGAUUCUGGAUGGAGUUUUAAAAUUUUUCGAAUUUUUUUUCUGUACACAUAAUUUAAACUGAGAUAUUAGAUGUUAAUAAAUGAAUGAGGUUCUCUA